CCUACGGGUGGCAGCAGUGGGGAAUAUUGGGCAAUGGGCGCAAGCCUGACCCAGCAACGCCGCGUGAAGGAAGAAGGCUCUCGGGUUGUAAACUUCUUUUUUCACGGAAGAAUAGGUGACCGUGCCUGACGAAUAACCCACGGCUCACUAAGUGCCACCAUCCGCGGUAAUACGUAGGUGGCAGGCGUUGUCCGGAUUUACUGGGUGUAAAGGGCGUGUAGCCGGGUUGACAAGUCAGAUGUGAAAUUCUGCGGCUUAACCGCAGAACUGCAUUGGACACUGUUGAUCUUGAGUACUGGAGAGGCAGAUGGAAUUCGUAGUGUAGCGGUGAAAUGCGUAGAUAUUAGGAGGAACACCAGUGGCGAAGGCGGUCUGCUGGACAGCAACUGACGGUGAGGCGCGAAAGCGUGGGGAGCAAACAGGAUUAGAUACCCCAGUAGUC
rnacentral:rRNA from 1 species